rnacentral:rRNA from 1 species
UAAUUUGAGGGUUUGAUCCUGGCUCAGGACGAACGCUGGCGGCGUGCCUAACACAUGCAAGUUGAACGGGAUUCGUGCUCAACACCGAGCAUUCGGGGCAGCAAGAGGAGCGCUUAGCGUUAAGAUACUUGCCGAACAACCCCGGUGCUGGGUGUUGAGCAUGAUGAGAGUAGCGGACGGGCGAGUAACGCGUGAGUAACCUGCCCUUUGCUGGGGGAUAACAUCGGGAAACCGGUGCUAAUACCGCAUAAGACCACAGUGCCACAUGACACAGCGGUCAAAGCUCCG